rnacentral:rRNA from 1 species
AACGAACGCUGGCGGCAUGCCUAACACAUGCAAGUCGAACGAGAUCUUCGGAUCUAGUGGCGCACGGGUGCGUAACGCGUGGGAAUCUGCCCCUUGCUUCGGAAUAACAGUGAGAAAUUACUGCUAAUACCGGAUGAUGUCUUCGGACCAAAGAUUUAUCGGCAAGGGAUGAGCCCGCGUAGGAUUAGGUAGUUGGUGGGGUAAUGGCCUACCAAGCCGACGAUCCUUAGCUGGUCUGAGAGGAUGAUCAGCCACACUGGGACUGAGACACGGCCCAGACUCCUACGGGAGGCAGCAGUGGGGAAUAUUGGACGAUGGGCGAAAGCCUGAUACAGCAAUGCCGCGUGAGUGAUGAAGGCCUUAGGGUUGUAAAGCUCUUUUACCAGGGAUGAUAAUGACAGUACCUGGAGAAUAAGCUCCGGCUAACUCCGUG